GACGAACGCUGGCGGCGUGCCUAAUACAUGCAAGUCGAACGAACUCUGGUAUUGAUUGGUGCUUGCAUCAUGAUUUACAUUUGAGUGAGUGGCGAACUGGUGAGUAACACGUGGGAAACCUGCCCAGAAGCGGGGGAUAACACCUGGAAACAGAUGCUAAUACCGCAUAACAACUUGGACCGCAUGGUCCGAGUUUGAAAGAUGGCUUCGGCUAUCACUUUUGGAUGGUCCCGCGGCGUAUUAGCUAGAUGGUGGGGUAACGGCUCACCAUGGCAAUGAUACGUAGCCGACCUGAGAGGGUAAUCGGCCACAUUGGGACUGAGACACGGCCCAAACUCCUACGGGAGGCAGCAGUAGGGAAUCUUCCACAAUGGACGAAAGUCUGAUGGAGCAACGCCGCGUGAGUGAAGAAGGGUUUCGACUCGUAAAACUCUGUUGUUAAAGAAGAACAUAUCUGAGAGUAACUGUUCAGGUAUUGACGGUAUUUAACCAGAAAGCCACGGCUAACUACGUGCCAGCAGCCGCGGUAAUACGUAGGUGGCAAGCGUUGUCCGGAUUUAUUGGGCGUAAAGCGAGCGCAGGCGGUUUUUUAAGUCUGAUGUGAAAGCCUUCGGCUCAACCGAAGAAGUGCAUCGGAAACUGGGAAACUUGAGUGCAGAAGAGGACAGUGGAACUCCAUGUGUAGCGGUGAAAUGCGUAGAUAUAUGGAAGAACACCAGUGGCGAAGGCGGCUGUCUGGUCUGUAACUGACGCUGAGGCUCGAAAGUAUGGGUAGCAAACAGGAUUAGAUACCCUGGUAGUCCAUACCGUAAACGAUGAAUGCUAAGUGUUGGAGGGUUUCCGCCCUUCAGUGCUGCAGCUAACGCAUUAAGCAUUCCGCCUGGGGAGUACGGCCGCAAGGCUGAAACUCAAAGGAAUUGACGGGGGCCCGCACAAGCGGUGGAGCAUGUGGUUUAAUUCGAAGCUACGCGAAGAACCUUACCAGGUCUUGACAUACUAUGCAAAUCUAAAAGAUUAGACGUUCCCUUCGGGG
rnacentral:rRNA from 2 species